rnacentral:rRNA from 1 species
UACGUAGGGGGCGAGCGUUAUCCGGAAUUACUGGGUGUAAAGGGUGCGUAGACGGGACUCUAAGUCUGAUGUGAAAUACCAAGGCUCAACUUUGGAACUGCAUCGGAAACUGGAGACCUAGAGUGCGGGAGAGGAAAGCGGAAUUCUCAGUGUAGCGGUGAAAUGCGUAGAUAUUGAGAGGAACACCGGUGGCGAAGGCGGCUUUCUGGACCGUAACUGACGUUGAGGCACGAAAGCGUGGGUAG